GCUGCACAUGUCAGCCAGCAAUGUAGAGUUUAAACUAGCUUCUCUCAGCAAAUCCACUGUGUGUACAUGUGUAUGUUUAUAAAGUACAUCAAGGAUGCCCUUGAAUGAGACUUACCUCUUUUUCACUUUCUAAUUCCAAACUAAAAUGCUGGGCUUUAAAGGCAUUAAAAAAAAAAAGGAAAGAAAUUCCACAACUCUAAAUCUGAACAUUAAUAGUGAGUCUAUUUCGCUAUCUAGGAAAAGGUCCUUAAAAAUUAACAAUUUACUCCAGUAACAACAGAAAGUGGUCCAGGGGCUGAGAUGAAGUCCAGAUGGAAGGGGGGAACUUACCAUUACUUAAUUAAGAUACAGUAAUCAACUAUUUGGAGCUUAUUUGGAUCCUGAUUCAAAUGAACUAUACAAAAAUAUAGCAGGAGACAUUUGGAAAUUUAAAUACUGACCAGAUGCUUGAUGUUAUUUCUGUUUGCUCUUUUUCUUAAUAGGGUUAUUUAAAAUGACAUCUUCCCAUUACUGCAUGCUGUUUCCAAUAAGAACACAAGAAAAGGGAAGGAAAAGAAUGGAAAGACUUGGGCCUUUUACUCCGUUCCUUUUUGCAUCUGCCUGGCUUAAGCUGAAACUCCAGUACUUUGGCCACUUCAUGCGAAGAGUUGACUCAUUGGAAAAGACUCUGAUGCUGGGAGGGAUUGGGGGCAGGAGGAGAAGGGGACGACAGAGGAUGAGAUGGCUAGACGGCAUCACUGACUCGAUGGACGUGAGUCUGAGUGAACUCCAGGAGCUGGUGAUGGACAGGGAGGCCUGGGGUGCUGAGAUUCAUGGGGUCGCAAAGAGUGGGACACGAUUGAACGACUGAACUGAACUGAACUGAGACCAGGCCGUGGUCCCCGAUCCUCCCGGUCUCAGAAUCGGAGCACCGCAAAUCCACGCCGGGAUGCAGCGACCCUAGGUCCACGCGACUCUGAUCGCCUUCUUCCCAGGGUAGAAUCUUUGGGUGGCUCCUGAUGGCCGGCAGAGGGGCCACCCCCUUGCGUGGUUUCAAAGCCCCUCAAAUUCUGACCCCGGUGCUUCCCCUAAUCUCAUUCCCCCCUCUCCUCGCAGGCUCCAAGAGAAUUCCACGGACUCCCUCCCACGGCCUGCCAGGGCUUGUCUGGCUUAUUUACUCAUCCGUGAGUUAAAAAGUCGCCUCUGACAUCACACCCUCCAGGACGGCCAUCCCUGGAGUGGGGUGACCCCCAGGGCCCCUGCGUGCUUCUCUGGGUUGUAGCAAACGUCACUAACUCCAGCUACGCAGUUAAUGGAUUUUCUCCACCUCACUCCCAACAGUUUAUCACCGGGACCUUUGUACCCCGCACAGGGCUAAGCAAGUGUUGUGAAUUACUUAAUACUUAACAACCGCCCUGCGAAGUAGCUUCUGUUAUGGCCAUCUUACACAUGCGGCAUAGACUAAGAGUUUAAGAAACGUGUCUAGUCUGGCAUGGCAAGAAUGCAGGGCACUCAGACAUCCAUACUUUUUGAACUUGCACUCUGGGUGAGUCCCUGUGCAGCUUUGGUUGAGAACCUCUGUUUAACCUGUGAGGUCUCUUAGGACAAGGGGCCACCUGUGCUUCUGGAGCUGACCCAGUAACCGAGACAUAGUGAGUGUUUGUGGAGGUUUUAUUUGAUCCUCUACAUCAGUCUGGAAGGCAGGCCAUUCAGACAUCACAGCUACCUUGUUUUCAGAUGUGCAAAGGGAUCCAGAAAGUUGAGUGACUUUGUGGUUCAGAAAUGGCAGUGCAUGCUGAAAACCAGGAACAGCUGACUCCCCUGGGCUCUUUUCACCAUCGUAGCUUUUUUUCUGGCACAGCCUCCAAAAA
rnacentral:lncRNA from 1 species